GACGAACGCUGGCGGCGUGCUUAACACAUGCAAGUCGAACGGAAAGGCCCAGCUUGCUGGGUACUCGAGUGGCGAACGGUGAGUAACACGUGGGUGAUCUGCCCCAAACUUCGGGAUAAGCCUGGGAAACUGGGUCUAAUACCGGAUAUGACCUGCUCCUGCAUGGGGGUUGGUGGAAAGCUUUUGCGGUUUGGGAUGGGCCCGCGGCCUAUCAGCUUGUUGGUGGGGUAAUGGCCUACCAAGGCGACGACGGGUAGCCGACCUGAGAGGGUGAUCGGCCACACUGGGACUGAGACACGGCCCAGACUCCUACGGGAGGCAGCAGUGGGGAAUAUUGCACAAUGGGCGCAAGCCUGAUGCAGCGACGCCGCGUGA
rnacentral:rRNA from 1 species